AGCAGCCGCGGUAAUUCCAGCUCCAAUAGCGUAUAUUAAAGUUGUUGCAGUUAAAAAGCUCGUAGUUGAAUUUCAGGCCUGGCUGGACGGUCCGCCCUUCGGGUGAGUACUGUCUGUGGUCGGGUCCUACCUUCUGGCGAAGCGUCAUGGCCUUAACCGGCCGUGGCGGGGAACCAGGACUUUUACUGUGAAAAAUUAGAGUGUUCAAAGCAGGCAAUCGCUUGGAUACAUUAGCAUGGAAUAAUGGAAUAGGACAAUGGUUCUAUUUGUUGGUUUCUAGGACCGUUGUAAUGAUUAAUAGGGAUAGUUGGGGGCAUUAGUAUUCAAUUGUCAGAGGUGAAAUUCUUGGAUUUAUUGAAGACUAACUACUGCGAAAGCAUUUGCCAAGGAUGUUUUCAUUAAUCAAGAACGAAAGUUAGGGGAUCGAAGACGAUCAGAUACCGUCGUAGUCUUAACCAUAAACUAUGCCGACUAGG
rnacentral:rRNA from 1 species